UCCGGGGUAGCUCAGUAUGGAGAGCGCUCGGCUGAAUUCCGAGAGGGCGCUGGUGCAAAUCCAGCCCCCGGACCCA
rnacentral:tRNA from 1 species